rnacentral:rRNA from 1 species
GAUGAACGCUGGCGGCGUGCUUAACACAUGCAAGUCGAACGAAGCACUUUAUUUGAUUUCCUUCGGGACUGAUUAUUUUGUGACUGAGUGGCGGACGGGUGAGUAACGCGUGGGUAACCUGCCUUGUACAGGGGGAUAACAGUUGGAAACGGCUGCUAAUACCGCAUAAGCGCACAGCAUCGCAUGAUGCAGUGUGAAAAACUCCGGUGGUAUAAGAUGGACCCGCGUUGGAUUAGCUAGUUGGUGAGGUAACGGCCCACCAAGGCGACGAUCCAUAGCCGACCGGGGAGGGGGACCGGCCACAUUGGGACUGAGACACGGCCCAAACUCCUACGGGAGGCAGCAGUGGGGAAUAUUGCACAAUGGGCGAAAGCCUGAUGCAGCGACGCCGCGUGAGCGAAGAAGUAUUUCGGUAUGUAAAGCUCUAUCAGCAGGGAAGAUAAUGACGGUACCUGACUAAGAAGCACCGGCUAAAUACGUG